rnacentral:rRNA from 1 species
AAUAGUCAAAUGGCUGAACCAGCAACUUGAAAGAAUGGAAAGAAAUUAAAGUUCUAGAUAAAAUAAAGAGUAUGACGAUUUUUUAUCUAUGAGUCUUGACCAAAUUACGUGCCAGCAGUCGCGGUAAUACGUAGAAGACAAGUGUUAUUCAUGUUUAAUCGGUAUAUAGGGUACCUAGACAGAAAACUAAGCCUAUUAAGGUACUAGUUUAUCUAGAGUUUUAUGUGUGAAUAAGCGAAUUACCAGAGAAGAGUUAAAAUUCUAUAAUACUGGUAGGACGGGUAACGGCAAAGGUUAUAUUCUAUGUAAAAACUGACGUUGAGGGACGAAGCCUAGGGGAGCGAUUAGGAUUUGAUACCCUAGUAGUCCUAGGAGACAAUUAUGAGUGUCAUAGGCUAGAUUAUUUUUUAGCCUAUAAAUGAAAGUGUAAGCAUUCCACCUUAAGACUAAAGCGGCAACGCCCAAAUUGAAAUCAUUAGACCGUUUCUGAAACCAGUAGUGAAGUAUGUUAUUUAAUUCGAUAGUCCGCGAAUAACCUUACCACGUUUUGAAUAUUAAUGUUAAUUAAUACAAGUGCUGCACGGCUGUCUUCAGUUAAUGUCGUGAGAUUAUGGUUAAUUCCUUAAAUUAACGAAAGCCCUUGUUUUAGUUAUAAAUAUAUUUCUAAUGCGGUUCACCAUUAUAUUGGAUAUGAUAAAAGGGACCAAGACAAGUCAUCAUGGCCUUAAUAACG